rnacentral:lncRNA from 1 species
GCACCAGGCCUCAGAUGGGUUCACCAGACCCAGCAGCAUGUUAAAGGCCACCCCACCCCAAACCUAUGCAGCAAAGACACUUGAACAUCACUUAACCCUGCAUGUACCAAACUUAUUUCACCAAAAAUCCUUUUGUGUCAUGGAACGUCUUUAUUUGAGGGAGUGGGGAAUUGACAAUACAAAAAUUAGCCAGAUGUAGUGGCGGGCACCUGUAAUCCCAGCAACUCAGAGGCAUGGCUGGGUGCGGUGGCUCACACCUGUAAUCUCAGCACUUUGGGAGGCUGAGGUGGGUGGAUCACAAGGCCAGGAGAUCGAGACCAUCCUGGCUAACACGGUGAAACCCCGUCUCUGCUAAAAAUACAAAAAAUUAGCGGGGCAUGGUGGCGGGAGCCUGUAGUCCCAGCUACUUGGGAGGCUGAGGCAGGAGAAUGGUGUGAACCCAGGAGGCGGAGCUUGCAGUGAGCCGAGAUCGCAACACUGCACUCCAGCCUGGGCGACAGACUCUGUCUCAAAAAAAAAAAAAAAAAAAAAUUAGCC